GAAAGGAAGUCCUCUUAUCAACAUUCUAUGUGAUACAUGAGGAUUGAGCUGAACAGAGAAGAGCCUUCUGCACCAACAAGAGACCAAAAUCGGAGUUUGGAUGCAAAACCUUUCAUGUCAAAGUUUCCAAGCCUAAGCACAAAGACAAUGCUCUUCAUCCAUCUCAACAAAUUUUCAUAAGGACUUGAUUGCCUUGUAACCAGCUUAGACUGAGAGAAGUAAAAAUCCUCUUGGGGAAUCAAGUCAUAUUAAAUCACAAUAUCCAGGGCCUGACAACAUUUACUAGCACCUCAUCAUAAAGAAAACAGCAGGUGCUACAAAAAUUUGCAACAAAAAACCAGUGCUGAGCGGGCUAACAAAAAAUCUGCAUCAAAGAUUGGAAGAUGGAGAAGACCAGAAUAAAGUCAGCAAAAAUUUCUGGAUUUGUGCACAAAUUAAAAUACCACAGCCUAUGUUAAAUGUGAGGGUCUCCUUUGUCUACCAAUGGCCACGGCAGAAGUGUGCCACAAGUGUGUGGAUGAGGGUGGCUCUCAGAAAUCUGCUCGCCCUGGGGACAUCUGGACAUCCUGCUCUGGCUCUGGGAGAACCAGUUCCACUGCCAGCCACGGCU
rnacentral:lncRNA from 1 species